rnacentral:rRNA from 1 species
ACGAACGCUGGCGGCGUGCCUAACACAUGCAAGUCGAGCGGAGACAGUGAGUAGCUUGCUAUGAGCUGUUUUAGCGGCGGACGGGUGAGUAACGCGUGAGCAACCUUUCCCAGACAGGGGAAUAACACACCGAAAGGUGUACUAAUACCGCAUAAGACCACGGAAUCACAUGGUUCUGAGGUAAAAGAUUUAUCGGUUUGGGGUGGGCUCGCGUCCGAUUAGGUAGUUGGUGAGGUAACGGCCCACCAAGCCGACGAUCGGUAGCCGACCUGAGAGGGUGAUCGGCCACAUUGGGACUGAGACACGGCCCAAACUCCUACGGGAGGCAGCAGUGGGGAAUAUUGGGCAAUGGAGGAAACUCUGACCCAGCAACGCCGCGUGGAGGAAGAAGGUUUUCGGAUCGUAAACUCCUGUCCUUGGAGACGAGUAGAAGACGGUAUCCAAGGAGGAAGCCCCGGCUAACUACGUGCCAGCAGCCGCGGUAAUACGUAGGGGGCAAGCGUUGUCCGGAAUAAUUGGGCGUAAAGGGCGCGUAGGCGGCUCGGUAAGUCUGGAGUGAAAGUCCUGCUUUUAAGGUGGGAAUUGCUUUGGAUACUGUCGGGCUUGAGUGCAGGAGAGGUUAGUGGAAUUCCCAGUGUAGCGGUGAAAUGCGUAGAGAUUGGGAGGAACACCAGUGGCGAAGGCGACUAACUGGACUGUAACUGACGCUGAGGCGCGAAAGUGUGGGGAGCAAACAGGAUUAGAUACCCUGGUAGUCCACGCCGUAAACGAUGUCGACUUGGAGGUUGUGCCCUUGAGGCGUGGCUUCCGGAGCUAACGCGUUAAGUCGACCGCCUGGGGAGUACGGCCGCAAGGUUGAAACUCAAAGGAAUUGACGGGGGCCCGCACAAGCAGCGGAGCAUGUGGUUUAAUUCGACGCAACGCGAAGAACCUUACCAGGUCUUGACAUCCACUUAAACUUACAGAGAUGUAAGGUGUGCUUGCACAAAGUGAGACAGGUGGUGCAUGGUUGUCGUCAGCUCGUGUCGUGAGAUGUUGGGUUAAGUCCCGCAACGAGCGCAACCCUUAUCUUCAGUUACUAACGCGUGAGGGUGAGGACUCUGAAGAGACUGCCGGGGACAACUCGGAGGAAGGUGGGGACGACGUCAAAUCAUCAUGCCCCUUAUGACCUGGGCUACACACGUGCUACAAUGGCCACGACAGAGAGAAGCGAAAUCGUAAGGUAGAGCGGAACUCAAAAAAGUGGUCCCAGUUCGGAUUGUGGGCUGCAACCCGCCCACAUGAAGUCGGAGUUGCUAGUAAUCGCGGAUCAGCAUGCCGCGGUGAAUACGUUCCCGGGCCUUGUACACACCGCCCGUCACACCAUGGGAGUUGGGAGUGCCCAAAGCCGGUGAGGCAACCGCAAGGAGCCAGCCGUCUAAGGCAAGACCAAUGACUGGGGUG